UUGGAGUCCGCGAAAUUAUACAUAGUACAGUUACAAUCUGGGUCUUCGCUGCAGUAGAAUUAAUUACAGGCGCACCAAUUGAAACUAUGAAUCAAAAUGUGUUGUGUUACGUACUCGUAUAAAAAUUAUAAUAAACUCGUAUAAUUGCUAUGAGUAUGACUCAAUGAACAAGGUUCAUUAUGAUAAAUAAAAUUAUUUGAUAUUUUUUGUCACCUCAAAAUGUUCUCCAACAGCCUACGGUAUCGGAGGAACUUCUGCGGGAAGUACUGGCCCCAGAGGCACAGGAGGCCGUCAUGGUCCAGGAGGUCCGGGAGGACCAGGCCACUGUGACGUCGUUACUCUGCUCCAUGACAGCGGGUACAACACCAAGGCUGAGACACUCCUCAAGUGUGUUGCUCAGGAGCAGAGUUUUCUUGAUGAUGCAUUAUAGCUUCCACAUCCAAGCUUGCAUCGACUCGCUGAUCGCCAGCGCUACCUACGCCGGCAGGCAGUGUAGUGCAGCGCGUCCUCGACAAUUGCCCCAUGGACUCUCUCAUCGCCUAUGAUGUGAGCCAACUACGAUGCGUCUCUCAAUAAAUCUGCCAAUCAUUCUCUCUGACAUUCAUUCCGUUCAUUUCGAGAGAAAUGAAAAACAUUUUAAUCAACCUAUGAACGUUGUUUUGUUUGUGCAGGUGAAGAAAUACAGGCAUCUGCAGUGUGUGGUCAGCUACUGCGCUACUGGCGCCGCCCCAACCCAGUUAUUAUCGCAGGCUUCUUCAUCCCGCAUUUGGCGGUCACGCAGUAUUUGCACUCGGCUUCAUCAGCAGAAUUUAUGCUUCCAUUAUAAUAGUAUAAUAUAUUCGUUCAGCAUUUAUUUUCAAUAAAUAUAUACAUUGGCAGUCAUUGGAGACGAUAUAUCUAUCCUCUGCAUAUAUAUAUUUAUUCUAGACCAAGUUUUGUCCGUUUUAAAAACCAUAUCAGAGGCUACAUUUGUUUUUAAAAUUGCAUUACCCAUGAAUUUAGACUAAAUUUUUUAAAACCUUGAUUCACCGGUGUAAUAUUAUUAAGAUCAUUUAAUUUACUAACCAAAAACAAAACAGUUGUUUAGCCACAAGGUGAUUCACAUUCCAAAUAAUAUAACCUGUAUAAAGAGUUGACAUGACUGUGAUGAAAAAUGUAUUAACUAAUGUCGCCGGCCCUGAUAUACAGGUAUAAUAAUUUAUUAUGUGGUAAAAUAUGGCUUGCGUUGGCUCGGUCUCAACGGAAAAUCACAGUCUUGUUCUCCCGGCCCCAUCAGAGAAGAAAAAACACGAAACGCUCCAACUGUGCAGAGGCGGUAAAAAUUUGAAAUCAUCUAAAACGUUCGUAGGAACGUGGUGCUCCAAUAUGAAGGAAAGUAUACAAGUAUUCAGAUGCAUUCGAUACAUACAUUUAAUAAUUGAUAAUCGUUCUCAUCAUUGAAUGAAUCAACAGGAGUACAGACAAAUCAAUAAGAUUACAGAUUACUAAUUAAGGAAGGAAUGUUUGGUAUAGCUUCAUUAACACCAUUUUGUAAUCACGGUUAAAAAAAGCAACUGAUAAUCAAAGUGGUAUUGCACAUAAACAAUCGUAGCAAAUGAAAA
rnacentral:lncRNA from 1 species